rnacentral:misc_RNA from 1 species
CCAAUAGCGUAUAUUAAAGUUGUUGCAGUUAAAAAGCUCGUAGUUGAAUUUUGGAUUCUACCAGUCGGUCCAUCUUUUGAUGAGUACUGGUUGUGUGGGGUCUAUCCGCCUGGUAAUACGUAAUGUCCUUUAUUGGAUGUUGCGGGUAGUCAGGACCUUUACCUUGAAAAAAUUAGAGUGUUUAAAGCAGGCUUAUGCCGGAAUACAUUAGCAUGGAAUAAUAGAUUAGGACGAAGUUGUUUUAUUUUGUUGGUUUCUAGGACAACCGUAAUGAUUAAUAGGGAUAGUUGGGGGCAUUAGUAUUCAAUUGUCAGAGGUGAAAUUCUUGGAUUUAUUGAAGACUAACUAUUGCGAAAGCAUUUGCCAAGGAUGUUUUCAUUAAUCAAGAACGAAAGUUAGGGGAUCGAAGACGAUCAGAUACCGUCGUAGUCUUAACCAUAAACUAUGCCGACUAGGGAUCGGGCGAUGUUGUUUCAAUGACUCGCUCGGCACCUUAUG